UAGGGAAUAUUAGAAAUGGACGCAAGUCUGAUCUAGCAACACCGCGUGUGCGAAGAAGGCCUUUGGGUCGUAAAGCACUUUUUGGAAGGAAUAGGAAGGAAUGUACUUCCAGAAUAAGUCUCGGCUAACUACGUGCCAGCAGCCGCGGUAACACGUAGGAGGCAAACGUUAUCCGGAUUUACUGGGCGUAAAGCGCGUGUAGGUGGUACUGUAAGUAGGGCGUGAAAGCUCCUGGCUCAACUGGGAGAGGCCGUUCUAAACUACAGAACUAGAGGAUGGUAGAGGGAGGUGGAAUUCCAGGUGUAGCGGUGGGAUGCGCAGAUAUCUGGAGGAACACCGGUGGCGAAGGCGGCCUCCUGGACCAUUCCUGACACUCAGACGCGAAAGCUAGGGUAGCAAACGG
rnacentral:rRNA from 1 species